rnacentral:rRNA from 1 species
GACGAACGCUGGCGGCGUGCUUAACACAUGCAAGUCGAACGGAAAGGCCCUGCUUUUGUGGGGUGCUCGAGUGGCGAACGGGUGAGUAACACGUGAGUAACCUGCCCUUGACUUUGGUAUAACUUCAGGAAACUGGGGCUAAUACCGGAUAGGAGCUCCUGCUGCAUGGUGGGGGUUGGAAAGUUUCGGCGGUUGGGGAUGGACUCGCGGCUUAUCAGCUUGUUGGUGGGGUAGUGGCUUACCAAGGCUUUGACGGGUAGCCGGCCUGAGAGGGUGACCGGCGACAUUGGGACUGAGAUACGGCCCAGACUCCUACGGGAGGCAGCAGUGGGGAAUAUUGCACAAUGGGCGGAAGCCUGAUGAAGAAACGCCGCGUGCGGGAUGACGGCCUUCGGGUUGUAAACCGCUUUAGCCUGUGACGAAGCGUGAGUGACGGUAAUGGGUAAAGAAGCACCGGCUAACUACGUG